UGGGAGACAUUGAGCAGUGGAAGAUGAGUCCGAAGCCGAGAGACUCGGGAUCCCCGGCCAAGACCAAGGAGACCCAAAAGAGGAAGUCCUCUCCUCAGCAGGGCUCCAGCAGCCCGAAGAAGAAGGCUACCAGGGCGGCCAAGAAGGGAAAAGCAGCUCGUGGACCGAGAGGCGGGAAGAAACGGACCGCGAGCAAGAUGGCGGCGGCGGCCCCUGAGGCGGGGAGCGGGCCAGCGGCCCCCGGCCCCAAUGACCAGCCUAGCCAGGAGCUCCCUCAGCACCAGCUGCCGGUGGAGGAGCCCGUGAGCGAGGGGAGCCAGCACGACACCCUGAGCCAGGAGACCCAGCUGGAGGAGCCACUGAGCGAGGGGGCGGCCACCAACUCCACCAGCUCCCUGAGCAGCGACUAAGUUCAGGCCCAGUCGCCAGACCGCAGAGAUCUCACCAGCAGGGUGGCCCCUGGUGAAGAUAAUAAAAUGAAUGUGUUGCAAA